rnacentral:rRNA from 1 species
UACGUAUGGUGCAAGCGUUAUCCGGAUUUACUGGGUGUAAAGGGAGCGCAGGCGGCACGGCAAGCCUGAUGUGAAAGCCCGCGGCCCAACCGCGGGACUGCAUUGGGAACUACCGGGCUGGGGUGCCGGAGAGGUAGGCGGAAUUCCUAGUGUAGCGGUGAAAUGCGUAGAUAUUAGGAGGAACACCAGUGGCGAAGGCGGCCUACUGGACGGUGACUGACGCUGAGGCUCGAAAGCGUGGGCAUCGAACAGG